rnacentral:misc_RNA from 1 species
GAAUGAAUGUAGAGUCGGUUGUCGCUGGUCCCUUCGGGGGCAUGUGCACGCCUUCUCUUUCAUCCACACACACCUGUGCACUCGGUCUGCUCUACAUAAAUUCAUAUCUAUAAUUCGAAUGUAAUUGAUGUAACACAUCUUUAAACUAAGUUUCAACAACAGAUCUCUUGGCUCU